rnacentral:tRNA from 1 species
GGUGAUGUAGCCCAAUGGUAGAGCACUUGCCUGACAUGUGAGAGGUACUGGGUUUGAUCCCCAGCACUG